rnacentral:rRNA from 1 species
GAUGAACGCUGGCGGCGUGCCUAAUACAUGCAAGUCGAGCGAACUGAUUAGAAGCUUGCUUCUAUGACGUUAGCGGCGGACGGGUGAGUAACAGGUGAGCAACCUGCCUGUAAGACUGGGAUAACUUCGGCAAACCGAAGCUAAUACCGGAUAGGAUCUUCUCCUUCAUGGGAGAUGAUUGAAAGAUGGUUUCGGCUAUCACUUACAGAUGGGCCCGCGGUGCGUUAGCUAGUUGGUGAGGUAACGGCUCACCAAGGCAAGGAUGCAUAGCCGACCUGAGAGGGUGAUCGGCCACACUGGGACUGAGACACGGCCCAGACUCCUACGGGAGGCAGCAGUAGGGAAUCUUCCGCAAUGGACGAAAGUCUGACGGAGCAACGCCGCGUGAGUGAUGAAGGCUUUCGGGUCGUAAAACUCUGUUGUUAGGGAAGAACAAGUACGAGAGUAACUGCUCGUACCUUGACGGUACCUAACCAGAAAGCCACGGCUAACUACGUGCCAGCAGCCGCCGUAAGAC